AAGGAGUUAGUUAAAAAAUAACAUUAGAGUGUCAAUCUAAAGUAACUAAUCUAUUAGUACACCUUG
rnacentral:tRNA from 1 species